rnacentral:sRNA from 1 species
GCGGCCGCCGCCCUCGCCACCCCGCCUGCCCACUCCCGCCGCCGCCCCGCUCUCGCUUUCCCUCCGGUCGCCCCUUCCCCUCCCCCUUCCCGGCGCACUCGGGGGGCUGGGAACGAGCUGCCAUGUGAUGCGCGUCCCCUCCGCGAGCUUUCGGUGACCCCCGAACUGCCCACCUCGCCGGCUGCUGGGAGGGGGCUGCGAGCCGGGAAGACGCGGGGAAGAGGAGGCGGAAAAGGACGCGAAGUUCUCCGGUGAGAUAAGAGUGUUAUUGUUGAUCAUCUUUGCCUGGGAAGUCGAAUGAUAAAGCCAGAAGAAAGCAUGCUUUCUGAUCAUUUGCAGCUGUCUGCUUCAGAAAGUGAGGGCUCCAGGAAUGAGGAGAAUCUUCAAGAGCUGCCUCGCAUUGUGACAUGUCUGAUCCCUUGCUCCCAUCCCUGCAGCAUGAACAAGGUGGACACUCACUGACCUGUCACAAGGUUGCCCCACAACACUUU